CAAGGCUGACCCAGACAGACUUUGACCUUGGUUUGAUCUCCCGCCAUUCAAGAAAAGCUUCCUUCAGCUUCAAAUGGCCUUACUUGGAGCUCAGCUGUACAGAAAGGGUAAAACCUCAUUAACGUAACUGCAACAAUGAAGACAUUACCUAGACGUGCUGGCUUCCUCUUUGCCUUCCUCCAUGAUGUAAGUUUCCUGAGGACUCCCCAGCCAUACUUCCUGUACAGCCUGUGGAACU